rnacentral:tRNA from 1 species
GGGCGGGUAGUCUAGAGCUUCGGUGAAGCGGGGAACAUGGUAUGACUUGGUGAGCCCCUUUGAGGUUCACCACGUAUAACCGGCUUCGGGAGCCGGAGGCCCCGGGUUCAAAGCGUGCAUGUACUGGCAUGCGCGUGUGACUCCUGGCCCGCCCACCA